GAUGAACGCUGGCGGCGUGCUUAACACAUGCAAGUCGAACGAAGCACUUUAUUUGAUUUCCUUCGUGACUGAUUAUUUUGUGACUGAGUGGCGGACGGGUGAGUAACGCGUGGGUAACCUGCCUUGUACAGGGGGAUAACAGUUGGAAACGGCUGCUAAUACCGCAUAAGCGCACAGCAUCGCAUGAUGCAGUGUGAAAAACUCCGGUGGUAUAAGAUGGACCCGCGUUGGAUUAGCUAGUUGGUGAGGUAACGGCCCACCAAGGCGACGAUCCAUAGCCGACCUGAGAGGGUGACCGGCCACAUUGGGACUGAGACACGGCCCAAACUCCUACGGGAAGCAGCAGUGGGGAAUAUUGCACAAUGGGCGAAAGCCUGAUGCAGCGACGCCGCGUGAGCGAAGAAGUAUUUCGGUAUGUAAAGCUCUAUCAGCAGGGAAGAUAAUGACGGUACCUGACUAAGAAGCACCGGCUAAAUACGUG
rnacentral:rRNA from 1 species